UUUGAUACCAGGAUUUGGAAUCCAGGCCAGGGAAAAUGAGAAGAAGAAAAAACACAUAGGAAAUAUUUCUCAUUUAUAAGAAAAGGCAGUGGAAGAACUAUGGAAACACAUGAAUUCUUUAAAAGAUAACUGUGGGACACCUAUUAUGUAAAAGAGAACAGGAUUUCAGUUCAUAUAAUCAUGUAAAUCACUUUUCCUAAAACUACUUGCAGGGCAUGUCAAGUUCCAGACCAACUUAGUUUGAAGAGAUGCACUUUCUGCGAACUUUGGAUACACCCAAGAAGAAGUGUUUUGCAGGUAUCAAGCAACACUUUGAUGGAAAUUUUGUGUGCCAGUUAUAGCUCAGCAGACUUCAAACAAAGCCUCUUGGAUCCUGGCAGGUCCUUUAAAAAGGAUCACAUAGCAGAUUAUAUAUACAAUUCUCCAUCUGAGACUACAAAGAAUUCUAUCAUUUGGAUGAAUAUCAUGAUGAUGACAAUGAUGAUGGCUUCUUACAACUUUUCCCCCUGGAAAACUGGAUGACUCUUAAGUGAUAGCAAAAGAGAUACGGAUACUUUCCUGGCAUCUAAUGGACAUCUACAUUUUGCAGACCAGGUAUGAAAGACCAACUCCACAUAUUCUUAUUCUGAUCAAAUUACUGUUGCAGCUAAUAAACAUUAAACAUUAGAACAAAACUAAUGUUUUUGUUCCUGGAAGGACUUUUUUUUUUUUUGCUUGACACUUUAGAGAACCUGGUUCUCUUAAAGCUCAUAACACUUCUUUUACAGCAACAGAUUAAUUACAACAGGAAUUCCCCUUCCUAUUCAUCAUUUUUUAAAUAAAGGUCACACAGUGCUUAAUCACAGCACUGAUAAGGAACAGUUGUUUAUUAAUCAGUUAAUCCACUGGAAGUAACAAUGUGGAGGCUGCAUUUAAUUAAGGAAUAUUUCUGCCAUGGACAUGCUUUUUCCUUUAUUAUUAUGAAUGUACACAUGAAUUUACAUUUAAUCACUAGCUAGAUAGGCAAUAAUGCGGAGAGUUUUAUUCCAAUGUACUAAGCUAAAGAAGAUUGAGUUGUUUACCUGCUGUACUGAUUGUGGGGGUUGCAUUAUAUCCCCAAUGGCUGGGGUUUGCAACCUGUUUCAGAGCAAGGUAAGUGGUACACAGGAAUC